GACGAACGCUGGCGGCGUGCCUAACACAUGCAAGUCGAACGAGGUCCAAGGAAGCUUGCUUCCUGACGACCUAGUGGCGAACGGGUGAGUAACACGUGAGAAACCUGCCUCGGAGUGAGGAAUAACUCGGGGAAACUCGAGCUAAUACCGCAUAUAUUCACAUGAUCGCAUGGUCGAGUGAAGAAAGAAUUUCGCUCUGAGAGGGUCUCGCGGCCUAUCAGCUUGUUGGUGGGGUAACGGCCCACCAAGGCAACGACGGGUAGCUGGUUUGAGAGAACGAUCAGCCACACUGGGACUGAGACACGGCCCAGACUCCUACGGGAGGCAGCAGUGGGGAAUCUUGCGCAAUGGGCGAAAGCCUGACGCAGCAACGCCGCGUGCGGGAUGACGGCCUUCGUGGUUGUAAAGCUCUUUCACCGGAGAAGAUAAUGACGGUAUCCGGAGAAGAAGCCCCGGCUAACUUCGUGCCAGCAGCCGCCGUAACAC
rnacentral:rRNA from 1 species